rnacentral:lncRNA from 1 species
CUGAGAUGUUUUUCUUUGUUACAACCAGGCCGGCGAGUCUCCAGGGGUUCCUCUGAGCAGACCCAAGGCGUUGCUUCGUACUCUAAUGAAGGAACCCAAGUGACAGUGGAGAUUCACCCCAAGAAUACCACCCCGCAGAUCCUCAAGAAGUUAUCCUUUGGGAAAGGUUCCCAGAGGAGGCUCAGCCUGAGAGGUCAAGACAACAAAGGUGAGGCUCUGUUCCACCACGGCGCGUGUCUCCAAGCUAGUCCUCAUCCAGGAGGUUGCUCCCAAGAGGGGACAGAGCUCCCCUUCUCCCCACGGGGGUUUCAAGGCUCUUGAGAGGAUCCCAACCCCUGUGCCUGCUCUCCCUGCCGGGAAGAUGCUACUGGACCCCGCCAGCACCUGGGGCUUGAGGAGCAAAGUCCUUCUGCUCCUGGGGCAGGGGAGGGGGGGUCUCCUCCUGGAGGUGUUCAAAAGACGGGUUGACAUGGUCUUCAGGAAUGUGGUUUAGUGGUGUGUGUAAA